GUGCCAGCAGCCGCGGUAAUACGGAGGAUGCGAGCGUUAUCCGGAUUUAUUGAGUUUAAAGGGUGCGCAGGCGGGAUUUUAAGUCAGCGGUGAAAUUUUCAGGCUCAACCUGAACACUGCCGUUGAAACUGGGAUUCUUGAGUAUGGAUGAAGUAGGCGGAAUUCGUUGUGUAGCCGGUGACAUGCUUAGAUAUAACGAGGGAACUCCCGAUUGCGUAGGCAGCUUACUAAGCCAUAACCUGNCGCUCAAGCACGAAAGCNUGGGGGAUCAAACAGGAUUAGAUACCCUGGUAGUCC
rnacentral:rRNA from 1 species